rnacentral:rRNA from 1 species
CAGUAGCCGCGGGAAUACAGAGGGUGCAAGCGUUAAUCGGAAUUACUGGGCGUAAAGCGUGCGUAGGUGGUGGUUUAAGUCCGUUGUGAAAGCCCUGGGCUCAACCUGGGAAUUGCAGUGGAUACUGGGUCACUAGAGUGUGGUAGAGGAUAGUGGAAUUUCCGGUGUAGCAGUGAAAUGCGUAGAGAUCGGAAGGAACAUCUGUGGCGAAGGCGACUAUCUGGGCCAACACUGACACUGAGGCACGAAAGCGUGGGGAGCAAACAGGAUUAGAUACCCCAGUAGUCCCUGUCUCUUAUAC